rnacentral:SRP_RNA from 10 species
GCCGGGCGUGGUGGCACGUGCCUGUAGUUCCCAGCUACUUGGGAGGCUGAGGCUGGAGGAUCACUUGAGUCCAGGAGUUCUAGGCUGUAGUGUGCUAUGCUGAUCGGGUGUCCACACUAAGUUCAGCAUCAAUAUGGUGACCUCCCGGGAGCGGGGGACCACCAGGUUGCCUAAGGAGGGGUGAACUGGCCCAGGUCGGAAACGGAGCAGGUUAAAGUGUUCAUACAGUACCUGGCCCACAGUAAGUGUCCAGGAAGUGUUAGCCGAUACUAUUGUGUUUCAGACAUGACUGCUGCU